UGGCGAUAUAGAUAAGAACCUUCACAGGCCAGAGAUGUACUUAUGUGCCAAAUUUGGUUGCUCGGCUCCUGGUAAUACCAAACAGACAGACAUUUUAUGAGAAACAGUAGCUACCUGAAAGUGAGCAGAAGCAGCCCCGGGAGACUAAGACCCGCCACGUUGCCCGCUCCCUGUAAGCUGUAGUGGAGUUCUCUGAGAAGCAAGCCUGAGAUUGGUUGGACAUGUGCAGAGGAGGGAGAGCAGAUAGACUGGACAAAGGGUGUUAAAGAUAAAGCUGCCAGGUAGGAGGAAAAAAGGAAGACCAUAGAGAGGAUUUGUGGAUGUAGUGAAGGAGGACAUACAGAAGAAGAUGCUAGUGAUGGGGUGAGAUGGAGGUAGAUGAUCCGCUGUGGUGACCCCUAAAGAGAGGAGCUGAAAGAAGAAGAAACUAUAACAGAGCUCAGCACUUUCUGACUCUCUUAAAAAGGAUUUAACAGUAAAACUGAAACAAUAAAAAAAAAAAAAGAUUGUGAUCUGUGGACCCGUAAAAAAACAUCAC
rnacentral:lncRNA from 1 species